UUUUGUUUCACAGAAAGAUUGAGUAUUAGAUCUAUGAAUGUUUUUAAAAGAAUGCUUAUUUUUUUGUUUGAUAUAUUUAUGUAUUAUGUUUUAUUCUUUAACAUAGUAAUAAAUAUCCGUUUACUUUAAAAGAAUUUAAAUAUCUAAGGUAGAAAAUAAAACUGGAUUAUGUAAUUAUAACUUUAAUUUCAUAGGUACAUCAUGGAUAGUAAAAACCAUCCUUCUUCUCGUACCAAGACUCUGGAUUCGGCUCCAUAACAAACAAGAAUAUAAGAAUAAUCACACAAUGAAUAAGGAAAAUUAAAGAGAACAACGUUCCAAUAUGCCUGCAAAGAUGGAAAGAGGGAAUACUAACCGUUCUUAUACCUUUUUCGUCGUCCAGGAUCCCAUUUACUUUAAUUGUUCUAUCUUCCUCUUUCUCUUUUAUAUUAUAUGUAUUUUUUGGAAAAAGAUUAUCCUCGUGACAAAAAUUCUAAGAAAAAGAUUGUCCGACUUAAAAUGUAAUGAAUGAAAACAUAAAAUAAG
rnacentral:lncRNA from 1 species